AGCAUAUCAAUAAGCGGAGGAAAAGAAACCAACAGGGAUUGCCCUAGUAACGGCGAGUGAAGCGGCAACAGCUCAAAUUUGAAAUCUGGCUCUUUCAGAGUCCGAGUUGUAAUUUGCAGAGGGCGCUUUGGCGUUGGCAGCGGUCCAAGUUCCUUGGAACAGGACGUCACAGAGGGUGAGAAUCCCGUACGUGGUCGCUGGCCUUCGCCGUGUAAAGCCCCUUCGACGAGUCGAGUUGUUUGGGAAUGCAGCUCUAAAUGGGAGGUAAAUUUCUUCUAAAGCUAAAUACUGGCCAGAGACCGAUAGCGCACAAGUAGAGUGAUCGAAAGAUGAAAAGCACUUUGGAAAGAGAGUCAAAUAGCACGUGAAAUUGUUGAAAGGGAAGCGCUUGCAGCCAGACUUGCCUGUAGUUGCUCAUCCGGGCUUUUGCCCGGUGCACUCUUCUGCGGGCAGGCCAGCAUCAGUUUGGGCGGUUGGAUAAAGGUCUCUGUCAUGUACCUCUCUUCGGGGAGGCCUUAUAGGGGAGACGUCAUGCAACCAGCCUGGACUGAGGUCCGCGCAUUUAUGCUAGGAUGCUGGCGUAAUGGCUGUAAGCGGCCCGUCUUGAAACACGGACCAAGGAGUCUAACAUCUAUGCGAGUGUUUGGGUGUCAAGCCCGAACGCGUAAUGAAAGUGAACGGAGGUGGGACCCCAUUAGGGUGCACCAUCGACCGAUCCUGAUGUCUUCGGAUGGAUUUGAGUAAGAGCAUGGCUGUUGGGACCCGAAAGAUGGUGAACUAUGCUUGAAUAGGGUGAAGCCAGAGGAAACUCUGGUGGAGGCUCGCAGCGGUUCUGACGUGCAAAUCGAUCGUCAAAUUUGGGCAUAGGGGCGAAAGACUAAUCGAAC
rnacentral:rRNA from 1 species